rnacentral:lncRNA from 1 species
GAAUUAAGGUAGUUUAGAGUAAUUAGGAUAAAAAUAGGUUUUAAAUAGAAAUAGUGUUAAUUUUGUCUUUUUAGUUAAAUAAAAUAGGUUUUUAAAUAAUUAGGUGUUUUCUCUUUUACAAAAAUAUUCAGAAAAUUAAAAACAAAAUUUCAUUCUUUUUAGGCUUUAUUUUUCAUUUUCUAUUACCAGUUUCUUUUUUUAUGAUGUUGUAGAAAUUAAUAAAAGUGGGCUGAUGCUGAGGAAAAUAUAAUGGGCCAACACUAAUUGGAGAGUAGAUUUGCACCAUUGUGAUGAUAGCUGGGCCGUAGUAGCUGCCACAAGCCCACGAGGCUGCUGUGAGGGAAUGGAAUGAAGAGUGUUUUGGGUCGUCUGCAGUGGGCUGAAGAAUCAAGUGAAGUUGUGCGUUUUAGUGAUCGUGUUUGCUUUGGGGGUCAGUGUUUCGCAAGCCUCAUUUUCAAUUGCAAGUAUCGAGCUAGGGCUCAGGAGCAGAGAAAGAAAACACUCAUCCGAUCCAGAAGAAGUCGAAGUUGAUUCCAAACCUAAGGUUUAAAGCUGGACCCAGAAGUGGAACGUAAUGAGAAGAUGAUCGAAAGGGUUGCUGAGAAGACGCAAGGAGGAUCGGAAGCAAAGUUGUUGCAUCAGAAAGUUAGUUGGAAAAGUGCUCUCGAAGCUUCUAAAACCGUUAUUCGGUUCUUCCCCUUUCUCCUUCUUUCUUUUCUUUUCUGUUUUUGAUUUUUCCCUAUAAAAGGGGGUUUUGUAACAUUGUAAAGAGUGUGUGCACUGGGUGACAGACGGUGUGCUUAGACUAGGUUUUUCGUUCUCUCACCUUAGAGUGGAUUUACAGCUUUCAUAGAAGUAGAUACACUUUUUGCUUUACUGUGGAUUCUGUUCUUCGAUUCUGGAUUUCACUGAGUUGCGAGGGUGACAGGCCGCGAUUUUCGGUGAUCUCUGGUAUCUUGUAUUUUGAUUUUAGUUUUCAAUAAAAUUUCUCUGUUUGAUGUGUUUCUUUCUACAUUCUUCAUUGUUAUUGUUUCAAUUUACUCUUUUGCCAAUUUAAUUUCCAGUUUUUUUAGUUUAGGAUUCUUAUCUCUUACCUUUAUGUUUCUCGUGCCCAAUCCAAUUAGCUUCUCUGCACUUUAAGUUUUUGAUGUUAGUAGUUGUUGUCUUUGGUUAAAGCUAUAAUUCUGAGUUAGAUAUGCAUAGGAUUUUAUGAUUGAAUGAGAAUUACCACCUUAAGUUCUAUGAACUAAAAAGACCCCAAAGAGGGUUUGACUUUUCAGAAUGUCUUUCUGAGAGUAAUUGAGAUUCUUUUGUCCAGCCUAAUGCAUAUUUGUCUCUAAAUUUUGCUUUUACCUAAAGUUCUUAUUUUGUUAUUAGGAUUUCUAGUAUUUCUGAUUGAUUGGAUUUUAGGUUCAUUUAGUUUAGAUGUUGAAUUCCCUUGUUUUCUUUUAUUCGUUUCUGAUACUUGAAGAUUCAAAUUCCUUGCAUUUAGUUUUUUUGUUUCUUUCCAGGUCAUGUAUAUGAUAGUGUGAAUUGGUUGAUCAUAUUUUUCAUGCAUUCAGAGUUUCUGUUUUCUUUGCUUUCAUUUACAGGAUUCAAUUUUACUUCCUUUUGCAUAUUUUAGUUAUAUCAUUCAUAGGUUUAGGUCUUGUUAUUGCAUUGAGUAGUGGUCAUCAGUUUGGGUUUCUCAUAAAUGGAUAGUGUUUCAUUGUAGUAUAGAUACCAUUCUAAUUCUGUUUUAGUUUCUUUUUAGUUUGUAAGAGUCUUUUAAUUGACUUAGCUUGGUCUUGUUAAUACAUAUUACGUUAGUUACCGUAGAUAUCAUGCACUGUUUUCUUUCUCUUUUUGCAUUAGUUUUACUUAGAUUUUAAUUCUUUCAGUUUCAAUUUUUUUUUUAGAUUUUAUUUUUACAUUUUAUUUUCCCCACCAGUUUUAGAUUUUAGUAAAUAGUAAUUAGGUUUAAUUCUAUAAUUCUAAACUUGAUAAGUACCAAGUCCACAGAUUGAUCCUUGGUUGACCCCUAUAUUACAUUAGUGGGGAAAUUUAAGGUUUGUUGACUUUUGUGCGACCAAAAGCCUUUCAACACUCCUGUAGUGCCGCUCCAGAGAUGAAUAUACAAGAGUAGAGUCUCGCCCCUUCUCCUCCAUGUCCGCGACUUGCUUUAGGGAUUCUAAUCCCAGAUUUAUGCAAAUUGAUUUCUCUGAUUGCAGGUGAAAAAUGGAUGGUGGUAAAUAUGCGUUUCUUGUUCGCAAGAACUGACUGUGCAUUGUGAUGAAGGAAAUCGUGAUUUCCGAUUCCUGGUGCUGUGCGACGAGGUUCGAACAUGGAGGUUGCAGCGUGUUGCGAUUUGCGAUUGGAAUUAUGGCUUUGCAGGUCUGAUUGUGGUUGGUUGAGUUAUGCAGGUGGUGGAAAUGGUAAGACCGUGGUGGUGCGAUGGUGGCGAGAUUGAAGUUGGUGAGGGCGCAUGGUUGGGGCGUUGUAAUGGUCGUUCCUACGGCGGCGGACGCGUGAGGAUAGCACUCGAGGAAGAUGAUGGUGGCCGUGGAAGAAGGUGGCGGUGCGACGAGGAUGGUUGCUGGUGGUGUUUUGGGCGUUGAUGGAGAAGGCGCGAGAAUGUGNUGGUAACNGAAACUUGCAGCGCGACAGNGGNAGCGUCUUCCCNGCGGCUUCACGGNGGCACUNUGNCUGGUCGGCGCGACAUGNUGGUUGCGGUGAUGCGGCGUAGGGAAGAUGGUGGUGGCCGGCGGCUAGGGUUUGGUUGGAUUAGGGUUUCUCUGUUAGAGAAGAUGGUGAUGACGUGGCAUGAGGGAGUUAGGUGGCAUGUUCUAAGUGGUUGGAUCUAUUAGUGGUGGAUUGCCACGUGGCAAAAUCUAAUGAAGUCUGACUUAGGAAUGGUAUGAGGGUGUGUGUAUAGUGACUUAGGGGGUGUAGGCGAAAAGGGUUUCUUUUGGCUUAGUGUUGGGCCAGAGGUUUAGAACUGAGGGGUGCAUAUAGGGAAAUCUGGGGGUGCAAGAGUAAAGAUUGCCUAUUUGGCCCAUCUGGACAUUAUUUAUCAAAUAAAAUCUGAUUUUGAGCUUUAAAUUUGCAAUUUAGACCAAUAAAACUCUAACUUCAGCUGCACAAAUAAAUAUUAGAACAUCCAAGAAUAAUUUAUGCAAUUAAAAUCACUUUUUAAGCCUCUUUUAAUUCCAAC